GGGUGAGUAACACGUGAGCAACCUGCCUUUCAGAGUGGAAUAACGUUUGGAAACGAACGCUAAUACCGCAUAAUGUCAGAGGACGGCAUCGUCUUUUGACCAAAGAUUUAUCGCUGAAAGAUGGGCUCGCGGCCGAUUAGGUAGUUGGUGAGAUAAUAGCCCACCAAGCCGACGAUCGGUAGCCGGACUGAGAGGUUGAACGGCCACAUUGGGACUGAGACACGGCCCAGACUCCUACGGGAGGCAGCAGUGGGGGAUAUUGCACAAUGGGGGAAACCCUGAUGCAGCGACGCCGCGUGAGGGAAGACGGCCUUCGGGUUGUAAACCUCUGUCUUCGGGGACGAAUAAUGACGGUACCCGAGGAGGAAGCCACGGCUAACUACGUGCCAGCAGCCGCGGUAAUACGUAGGUGGCAAGCGUUGUCCGGAAUUACUGGGUGCAAAGGGAGCGUAGGCGGGGAGGCAAGUUGAAUGUCUAAACUAUCGGCUCAACUGAUAGUCGCGUUCAAAACUGCCACUCUUGAGUGCAGUAGAGGUAGGCGGAAUUCCUAGUGUAGCGGUGAAAUGCGUAGAUAUUAGGAGGAACACCAGUGGCGAAGGCGGCCUACUGGGCUGUAACUGACGCUGAGGCUCGAAAGCGUGGGUAGCAAACAGGAUUAGAUACCCUGGUAGUCCACGCCGUAAACGAUGAUUACUAGGUGUGGGGGGACUG
rnacentral:rRNA from 1 species